GUUCUGGAUAGUUCGGCUAAAGUGAGUUUAACAUUAUUCUACGUAGUUUAAGUGCACGUUUUCAUACAUAACCAUUCAGCCUCAAUUUAGUUAUCGAUUUGUCAUAUUUCCUGUGUCCGAAAUCGUCCGAGAUUGUCCGAUAUCAUCGUCAAUGUUUUUUAUGAAAUGACUGAGACAGAAUUCUAAUAACAUCUUUUGUCUAUGGUACGACUCAGAGCUCGGAUGCAUAGCAAUAGCAGAGGGCGCAGGCGCACUAGAAAGUCGUACGCAAUGCGGUUGUAAUAUCCUAAGGGCGACCGUUUUGCUGGUGCAAAGGAUAUUAUACUAAGACGGCUGGGAACUGUCGCAGCCUCUUUCGAUUACGGAUCACGUCUUGACCGCACCUCGUCCCGAUGAAUCCGACUCGAGAAGCAGACGGACCCGCUGACCAACCUACCGUGAAGGAGCUUGAUUGUCCAUAUUGUCCAAGCGUGCUAAGUUAUGGAGAUUCCUAAUGCUAACCCGGCCGACCCUAAUCCGUCUCGUAGCUCUGUGAGCCGGAAGAUCCAGAUUUUCCAAUGUUCUGAAUCGGCCACGUCGAAGUACGGAUAUCGUGUAAGGUGAUGACACGAGAUGAAGAUGCAGUCGUGUCUUUACCUUACGAAGAACAAUGGUUUCGAUCGAGAUGAGAAGGAAAGAGGGAGGAUGGACGACCGUGGUUGACAACCCUUUAUCAAGUACGACGGCUCGUUUAGGUACAGCGGAAGCUAAAUGGACGAGCGGCUCGGAUGAACGGUAGAGGGGCACGCAAUAAAGGGGUAGUGUCGCGAGAUAAUUGGAAGCUACGGCUGUCCUAGAUGGACGUAAAGGCGAGGAAGAGAUUCUAAUGCAGAGCUCGCCCGUGUCUGCCGACUUGCACGUCCACGAUUGCACCUAUUGUUAUUGGCUUUGGAAUUUACGACGUUACUAUAAGAAACUUUUCUAUGAGAUCAGUUUAAACUUUAUUAUUCUGUUAAAUAUUAUAUAAUGAAUAAUAGACACCGUUACGAACAAUAGAAACAUAUUGAAAUAGAAUUAGAAUAGAUUCAUCGAUUAAUCUCGUUACAGAUAAAAUAUAUACAUAUAUACAUGUACACACACACACACACACACAUAUAUAUAUAUACAUCUAGUUGAAGAUUACAUUACAUAUCUACAUAAAUAUAGAUUCAUCAUAAUUUUAUAAUACGUUCAGAAGAUUCAGUUUAUCAAGAACGCAUAAUUUCGAAUGAAUGAGAAGAAAAAAAAGAGAGAGAUGAGUUUUAAAUUCUAUUGGCCCGAUCUUCUACAACUUUCUGCAAUUGAAAACGCAUGUUUUUGCGUUGAUGUAAUGGCGGAAACUUAUUCUAUAUCCGUAUAGAAGUUAUAUAAUACCUAAUGAGGGUUGUGUGUAGCUUGUUAUCAGUGAGCUGGUACGAGGUAAUAUUCAGUCUGGGAGACCGAACGUUCAAAUAUAGUGCCUACAAAAUCGAUCCUUCUCCUGAAUUCAACCAUUGAAUAUGGUAUAGGUAUUCAUUCAUGGAAGUUCUAUAGUACGAGUUAAGGAAAUCCAUAAAAUUCACUUCGUCUACUAACGUCUACAUUAAUCUCUUGUAGACGAGCACGUUGUAGAAUAGAUCAGUUAGAAAUGCAAUUCUCUUAACAUUUUGUCUGUAUAAAUCGUCUUGUCCUAGUAUAGUUUAUGUUCUUCGUUUUCACGUAUAUCUUUAGAUUUAUAUUUGUAAUAUGUUUCUUUAAUAUGUGCGUUUUAAUAAUUAUUAGAUUCUAAUAUUACUUCUUAAUGUAUGAUUUGUCCGACAAUGUUGCAUCUAUCAUUGACAGGGAAAAAUAAAUAAUCUGAAAAUUCAAAAUAUUUGGAAACUUUUGAUAAAGUAAACUUAUGUCAUCUAUAAUACAACCUUAUUUUUAUUUGAUACUAUAAUCCGAUUUUAAGGGAUAAAAUGAUAGUAAUUUUUACUACUUUUGUUAUUUAAAUAACUAGUAUCAUAUGUAUUUAUUUAUUAUGUAUAUUUAUAAUAUUUUUUUAAGUAGCCAAUUUUGAGAUAUAAA